GUCGAGAAUCUUUCACAAUGGGGGCAACCCUGAUGGAGCGACGCCGCGUGGAGGAUAAGGUCUUCGGAUUGUAAACUCCUGUCAUGCGUGAACAAGGUUGCUUGGUUAAUACCUGGGCAAAUUGAUGGUAACGCAAGAGGAAGAGACGACUAACUCUGUGCCAGCAGCCGCGGUAAUACAGAGGUCUCAAGCGUUGUUCGGAAUCACUGGGCGUAAAGGGUGCGUAGGUGGCGUGGUAAGUCAGAUGUGAAAGCCCGGGGCUCAACCUCGGAACUGCAUCCGAUACUGCCAUGCUAGAGUACUGGAGAGGUGACUAGAAUUCUCGGUGUAGCAGUGAAAUGCGUAGAUAUCGAGAGGAAUACCAAAGGCGUAGGCAGGUCACUGGACAGUUACUGACACUGAGGCACGAAGGCCAGGGGAGCGAACGGGAUUAGAUACCCGAGUAGUCC
rnacentral:rRNA from 1 species